CACGUAGGGUGCGAGCGUUGUCCGGAAUCAUUGGGCGUAAAGCGCGCGUAGGUGGCCCCAUAAGUCCGCUGUGAAAGUCAAAGGCUCAACCUUUGAAAGCCAGUGGAUACUGUGGGACUAGAGUACGGAAGAGGCGAGUGGAAUUCCUGGUGUAGCGGUGGAAUGCGCAGAUAUCAGGAGGAACACCAAUAGCGAAGGCAGCGCGCUGGGACGUUACUGACACUGAGGCGCGAAAGCGUGGGGAGCAAACAGG
rnacentral:rRNA from 1 species